rnacentral:rRNA from 1 species
UGGGGAAUAUUGCACAAUGGGCGAAAGCCUGAUGCAGCGACGCCGCGUGAGGGAUGACGGCCUUCGGGUUGUAAACCUCUUUCAGUAGGGACGAAGCGCAAGUGACGGUACCUGCAGAAGAAGCACCGGCUAACUACGUGCCAGCAGCCGCGGUAAUACGUAGGGUGCGAGCGUUGUCCGGAAUUACUGGGCGUAAAGAGCUCGUAGGCGGUUUGUCACGUCGUCUGUGAAAUCCUAGGGCUUAACCCUGGACGUGCAGGCGAUACGGGCUGACUUGAGUACUACAGGGGAGACUGGAAUUUCUGGUGUAGCGGUGGAAUGCACAGAUAUCAGGAAGAACACCGAUGGCGAAGGCAGGUCUCUGGGUAGUAACUGAUGCUGAGGAGCGAAAGCAUGGGUAGCGAACAGG